GACGAACGCUGGCGGCGUGCCUAAUACAUGCAAGUCGAGCGAAUGGAUGGGAGCUUGCUCCCUGAAGUUAGCGGCGGACGGGUGAGUAACACGUGGGCAACCUGCCUGUAAGACUGGGAUAACUUCGGGAAACCGGAGCUAAUACCGGAUACAUUCUUUCUUCGCCUGAAGAAAGAUGGAAAGAUGGUUUCGGCUAUCACUUACAGAUGGGCCCGCGGCGCAUUAGCUAGUUGGUGAGGUAACGGCUCACCAAGGCAACGAUGCGUAGCCGACCUGAGAGGGUGAUCGGCCACACUGGGACUGAGACACGGCCCAGACUCCUACGGGAGGCAGCAGUAGGGAAUCUUCCGCAAUGGACGAAAGUCUGACGGAGCAACGCCGCGUGAGCGAAGAAGGCCUUCGGGUCGUAAAGCUCUGUUGUUAGGGAAGAACAAGUACCAGAGUAACUGCUGGUACCUUGACGGUACCUAACCAGAAAGCCACAGCUAACUACGUGCCAGCCGCCGCCGUAAUAC
rnacentral:rRNA from 1 species